rnacentral:piRNA from 1 species
UAGAUGUAAAAGUACAUUAUAGCCUGUUCC